ACCGUCCUGUUAAAAGGCUGCUUGGUCAUUGCAAUAUUCUUGUGGCUUUCUUUUCUCUUCCCGUAUUAAGCCCUCACCGUUCCAUUCCAGGCUUGUUGUUUUGGUCCGGCAUUAUACUAUAUGCAAAAACUGCAUGAAACUGCCUGUUAUCUGACAGACUGACCUUACUGUUGAGACUGCCUGUUACCUAUAAGAGAACGGUCGCUUUGAUACUAAAUUCUGCUUGUCAUGGCCUAGCUAUUAGCCAUACUCAUUACUUUUCGAAUUUAUAUUCAUACAGUGAAAAGAAAAAUUGAAGUGAAUCAACUCAUGCCUUUUGUACUGAUGGUCUCAAGUUCAUCUACUCAUGCCCUUUGUACUGGUGGUCUCAAGUUCUUUAAUACGUCUUUUAUUCAAAGCAACGCAUAAAGAAUCUUUGCAUAGAUUUUUUAUGCAAACACCUUUCUUUACUCCUUACCUUUGCACGGGGAAAGAUGAAAGAAUACAAGUAGAUCACAAGCAACUUAACAAACAUAGUGUUGUGAAUGUUUGAACAAGCUGCUGAAUUCGCUUGUCAGGAAUGCAAAGUUUGGAACUCGCUUUGUGAUCCAAUUUGUUGACUGUCCUUCCUGAUCAAUCUGUGAUGAAGUGUUUGAUAAAUUUUUACGGUUUGUGGUUUAAAUUUUUAAUGCUCAAAAAUCUAAAUUCAAAAAUUUAAAUUUAAGUCAUUGCUCAAUUUUUCUAGAUUUUGUAAUUUAAAUAGAAAGUGGGUUUUCGAUACGAUAUUUGUUAAAUCGAAGCAGUAAAAAUUAUAUUUGAAUUAUUUGUGUAGACUAAGGUAACAAAUUCAUUGCAUUUAGUACUGCUUUUGGCUGAGCAUUUUCAAAACUUGGAACCAUCAUUUCAAUCUUUUUUAUACGAGUCCCUUUUAAAUUUUGAUGAUUCUUAGUAGCUUUAGAGCAUAUUUUUGUCAGAAAAAGAGUUAAUAUCUAAAGUAUGAAAAUAGGUGGAAGACGUUAGUCCCAGAUAUUGGGUUUUUACAAUGGAUUCUUCCAUUCUGCCCAUAACUUAAAGUUCUAUCCCGUAUUCUGAUGUUACUUUCCCCUGUAGUUACUUUGAUUUGGCGAAAGGAUGUUGAUUUUCCUUCGAAUAUUACUUCACGGUUAGAUCUGUCUUUCAAAGCCCUUAACUGGCCACUCAAUGCUUAAAGAGAAUCAACGGACACGAGUCCUGUAAUUCAAAAAUAUUCUCAAAUUCAAUUCAGUCUGAAUUAGAAUCGAGCUGUAUCCUAGAACAUAAUCCCACAGAAUCUCUGGUAACAAACAACACGAGUAUGGUUGGUUGUUUAUUUAUAGAUGUGAAGUCUGCUAGUUUUUAGUUUGUUGAAUUUCUUCAGCCAACAGCUAUAGUACGAAAGAUGUUUCCACAUAAUUUACCAACUGUGUUCAAAUUGUCUUAGCUGAAUGGACUGUAGCGUUUCACCAUCUCUCUAAUUGAUUCAUAUUGCUAGCAAUAAAGAAAUUUUCUUAAGCAGAAAGCAUCUUGAUGUGACGAUAACCAACAGAGAAUGUUGUCGUGCUGUUAUGCCUAGAGACGGUAUAAGUCACAGCAACCACAUAUACCACUUGAUUGUGAGAAAAGCUUGUUGACAGCUGAAAGUAGAUUAGUUGUUUGAUUUAUUGUGUAUCCACCCAUUUCACGAAGAUUUUAAUUACCUGAUUGAAAAUAACGGCAUAUGGUCUCAAAAUCCUUAGAUCUAGCUGCUAAAAAUACUUGAAGUAGAGCCAUUGAAUGCAACAAUGGUGAAAAGCUUUUUAAGUGGCGAAUUAAUUUCUUUUAGGAUCCCGCAAAUGCUUUCUAAUCCAUCAACAGCUGUUACAUUUUGUGCUACUUUUUUCGAUAUGUUAUCGUCAGUCAUCAUUCUUGACUUUUUGUAUUUAAUGUUGUCUAGUUUAUCCGUCAAAGAAUUAUUUUGAAGUCAUUCACUUCUAAUUAAACCUACGAAUAAUUGAGUCGUUAAAAGAAAAUCGAAAAUAUCUGUGGUAUAAUUUUUUCGUGAAUUCAAGAUUUAUGAGAAUUUAAUCAAUCGACAUAAACAUAUAAACAUCAACAAUGCAGUUAUUUGAAUAGAAAUAACCAAAUAAUAGAAAUUUCCAAUUUGCGUAUUAGCAGCUCCCGCCCUAAAUGCGUUGUGAUUAUUCAUAUAUGCUUCAUUUGUUUUUAUUAGUCUGUUUGGUAAUUCAGAAUGAGAUGUCCUCAAGGAUCAA